UUUAUGGAGAGUUUGAUCCUGGCUCAGGAUGAACGCUGGCGGCGUGCCUAAUACAUGCAAGUCGAGCGAACGGACGAGAAGCUUGCUUCUCUGAUGUUAGCGGCGGACGGGUGAGUAACACGUGGAUAACCUACCUAUAAGACUGGGAUAACUUCGGGAAACCGGAGCUAAUACCGGAUAAUAUUUUGAACCGCAUGGUUCAAAAGUGAAAGACGGU
rnacentral:rRNA from 1 species